UUCGCCCUUUUCCGGUUGAUCCUGCCGGACCCCACUGCUAUCGGGAUAGGACUAAGACAUGCAAGUCAAGCGCUUUCUAGCUAAUGUGAGAGCGCGGCGUACAGCUCAGUAACACGUGGCCAACCUGCCCUUGGGACGGGAACACCCCCGGGAAACUGGGGUUAAUUCCCGAUAGGUGAAGAAGUCUGGAAUGACUCUUCGCUCAAAAGACGUUUAUGUCAUGCUCAUAUUCGUCGCCCAGGGAUGGGGCCGCGACCGAUCAGGUUGUUGGUGAGGCAAUGGCUCACCAAGCCUUUUACCGGUGCGGGCCGUGAGAGCGGGAGCCCGGAGAUGGGCACUGAGACAAAGGCCCAGGCCCCACGGGGCGCAGCAGUCGCGAAAAUUUUGCAAUACACGAAAGUGUGACAGAGCUAUCCCGAGUGCCAUCCGCUGAGGAAGGCUUUUACCCAGUAUAAAUAGCUGGGAGAAUAAGGAGAGGGCAAGUCUGGUGUCAGCCGCCGCGNUAAUACCAGCUCUCCGAGUAGCGUGGACGUUUAUUGGGCCUAAAGCAUCCGUAGCUUGCUAGAUAAGUCCUCUGUUAAAUCCACCGAUUCAAUCGUUGGAUUGCGGG
rnacentral:rRNA from 1 species